rnacentral:lncRNA from 1 species
GCGCCGGGCGGGCGGCAAGCUGAGAGUAGGCUAGUGUUACUGCUCGGUUUCUAGCCCUGGGGACUUGCCAGCCUUAGCGUGACUCAGCCGCCCGCUGCGUCUGUCUACGCGCCUCUUCCCGUGACACUUUUACUUUAGACUCCGGUGUCGUCCACUUCCCUCCUUCUCGCUUCCGGGGCGUUAGCUGAGCAUACUCAGGCCCCAGCCUGCUCGCGCUGGUUGUGUGCUGGGAACAGAGUUCCAGUCUAUACACUGGCGACCGGGGGGAGGGAGAUCCUUUGGAGCACUCGGAAGCGGGUUCUGACCAGCCUGUGGGGUUCCCUAGAGGAGGCAUGAGCUGACUCUGAAGGGCAAACUGCAGUUGGCCUGGCAACUCUGGAGAAGAGCCACCCAGCAUAGGAGACGGCAGUGCAGAGGCACCCAGGGCCUGAUGCUGGGAGCUCAGAGCAGCUGGGGCAUCGUAUCUAUGAAGAAAGUGGCUGAAAUGCUCUGGCUAGAGGAUGGUCUCCACUGUGUAAAAGCUUCCCAGGCAGCUGCAGUCUUAAAACAAUUGUCUGCAGAAUGCUCAACGUGACCCUCUGCUUCCUGGAGUUUCUUCAGGUACAAAUACCUCAGACCCCAGAAAGUGUGUUCCCAAACCGCUUCUCAUGAACCAUUGAAUAUUCAAAAGAGAGCUAAAUUUCAAGCCUACUAUAUAAAAGCGUAUCCCUGUAACACAUGUGCCAUAAUACAUAACUUCUACUUUUGUCAGUCCUUACCAUCUACCUCUCUGAAUUUUCAUGAAUUUCAAUUUCACAAGGGUAAUUGUUUUACAUAUACAGGCAGUAGCAUACAAUAAAAUACUCAGUAUGUGUGCUGAGCACAGUGGCUUCUUCCUUUUUUUUUUUUUUUUUUUUUUUUUUUUUGAGAGAGAGUUUCCCUCUUGUCACCCACUUUCCCUCUUGUCCACUGCACUAGAGUGCAGUGGCGACAUCUCUGUUCACUGCAACCUCCGCCUCCCGGGUUCAAGCAAUUCUCCUGCCUCAGCCUCCCAACCAAGUAGCUGGGAUUAUAGGCAUGUGUCACCACGCCCGGCUAAUUUUUGUAUUUUUAGUAGAUACGGGGUUUCUCCAUGUUGGUCCAGCUGGUCUCGAACUCAUGACCUCAGGUGAUCCACUUGCCUCAGCCUUCCAAAGUGUUGGGAUUACAGGUAUGAGCCACCGCACCCGGCUGGCUUGCACUUGUUAUACAAACGCGUUGAGAGGCCAAGGCAGGAGGAUUGCUUGAGGCUAGGAGUUCAAGACCAGCCUGGACAAUAUGGUGAGACCAUAUCUCUACAAAAAAUAAAAAAUUGUCCAGGAGUGGUAGUGUGCACCUAUAGUCUCAACUACUUGGGAGGCUGAAGCGGGAGGUUUGCUAGAGCCCAGGAGUUUGAUGUUACAGUAAGCAAUGAUGGCAACACUACAACAUUGCCACUUCAGCUUGGACAACAGAGUGAAACCCUGUCCCCCUGAAAACUCCCAAAAACCUCAGCAUAAAAAUAAGUAAAUAAAUAAAUAAAAUGUGCAGACAAACUAAAGCCAGCCGGAACGGCUAAUAAGAGAGAAAAUGAAUCAAGAUUUGAAAAAAACACAGGAGGCUGGGUGAGAUGUGAGAUGGCUCACACCUGUAAUCCCAGCACUUUGGGAGGCUGAGGCAGGAGGAUCGCUUGAGCUCAGUAGUUUAAUAUCAGCCUGGCCAUGGUGGAGAAACCCCGAUUCUACGAAAAUUUAAAAAAAAAAGAAGAAGAAGAGGCUGAGUAUGUGGUGCGUGCUUAUGGUCUCAGCUACUCAUGAGGCUGAGGUAGGGAGAUCACUUGAGCCUAGACAUUUGAGGCUGCAGUGAGCUGUGAUUGCGUCACUGCACUUCAGCCUGGGUGACAAAGUGAGACCUUGCCUCAAAAAACAAAGCAAAACAAAACAAAUCCACAAGAGACCCUGGCAAAGAUCUCUGUGCGAGGCAGAGAACUUCAGUGGUUCAGCUGCACCCCCACAAUGUUUAUUAAAAUUAAUCUAUGAACAUAGACAAAGAUUCAAAGGCAGCACAGAAAAUGAUUUUAUUCGUAGGCAUGGUAGAAUUGUGGGUGCCUUUUUCCUUUUCCUUAAAAUUCCUAUGUUUCCCAAUUUAACUACUGUGCAAAUACUACUAAUAAAGAAAUCCUGUAUGAAAGACAAGAUUGGAGAAACCAGGUUGACAGCAGCUCAAGAGAAGGAGGCUCAGAAAGGCCUGGCCUCAGGCUCUGUCAUUGUGGGUGGGGCCCGCAGAGCAGUUCAGGAGGAUGAGUCCAGACUGGGCAACACAAGAAAAAAGGAAGACCACAGAAUGGGACAAAAUAAUUGCAAAGCAUACAUCUGAUAUGGGAUUAAUAUGCAGGCUAUCAUAUAAAGAAUUAAAGCUGAGGUUGGGCAUAGUGGCUUGUGCCACCAUGGAUCACCUGAGGCCAGGAGUUCAAGACCAGGCUGAGCAACAUAGUGAAACCCUGUUUCUACAAAAGAUAAAAAUAAAAAUAAGGCCAGGCACGGUGGCUUCCACCUGUAAUCUCAGCACUUUGGGAGGACAAGUGGGCAGAUGAGUUUCAGACCAGCCUGGUCAACAUGGGGAAACCUCGUUUCUACUAAAAAUACAAACAUUAGCCAGGCAUGGUGGUGCACACCUCCUGGUCUUGGGAGGCUAGGCCCGAGAAUCACUUGAACCCGGGAGGUGGAGGUUGCAGUGAGCACUCCAGCCUGGGUGACACAGUGAGACUUUGUCUCAAAAAUAAAUAAAUGAAUAAAUAAAAAUAAAAAGUAGAAAUUAGGUGGGUGGGUAUGGUGGCUCACGCCUGUAAUCCCAGCACUUUGGGAGGCCGAGGCAGGUAGAUCAUGAGGUCAGGCGUUCGAGACCAGCCUGGCCAACACAGUGAAAUCCCAUCUCUACUAAAAAUAUAAAAAAUUAGCCAGGCAUGGUGGUGGGCGCCUGUAACCCCAGCUACUUGGGAGGCUGAGGCAGGAGAAUCGCUUGAACCUGGGAGGCAGAGGUUGUGGUGAACCAAGAUUGCACCAUUGCACUCCAGCCUGGGCAACAAGAGUGAAACUCCGUCUCAGAAAGAAAGAAAGAAAGAAAGAAAGAAAGAAAGAAAGAAAGAAAGAAAGAGAGAGAGAGAGAGAGAGAGAGAGAAAGAAAGAAAGAAAGAAAGAAAGAAAGAAAGAAAGAAAGAAAGAAAGAAAGAAAGAAAGAAAAGAAAGAAAGAAAUUAGCCAGGCAUGGUGGCACACGCCUGUAGUUAUAGCUACUUGAGAGGCUGAGAUAGGAGGAUUGCUUGAGCUCAGAAGUUGGAGGCUACAGUGAGCUAUAAUUGCGCCACUGCACUCCAGCCUAGGUGACAGAGCAAGAUACUGUCACUAAAAAAAAAGAAAAAAAGCGGCGGGCGCGCUGGCUCACGCCUGUAAUCCCAGCACUUU